rnacentral:rRNA from 1 species
CGCGUGAGGAACCUGCCUCAAAGAGGGGGACAACAGUUGGAAACGACUGCUAAUACCGCAUAAGCCCACGGCUCGGCAUCGAGCAGAGGGAAAAGGAGCAAUCCGCUUUGAGAUGGCCUCGCGUCCGAUUAGCUAGUUGGUGAGGUAACGGCCCACCAAGGCGACGAUCGGUAGCCGGACUGAGAGGUUGAACGGCCACAUUGGGACUGAGACACGGCCCAGACUCCUACGGGAGGCAGCAGUGGGGAAUAUUGCACAAUGGGGGAAACCCUGAUGCAGCGACGCCGCGUGGAGGAAGAAGGUCUUCGGAUUGUAAACUCCUGUUGUUGAGGAAGAUAAUGACGGUACUC